ACGCUCGACACCUACGGGAGGCAGCAGGUGGGGAAUAUUGCACAAUGGAGGAAACUCUGAUGCAGCGAUGCCGCGUGAGGGAAGAAGGUUUUCGGAUUGUAAACCUCUGUCUUUGGGGACGAUAAUGACGGUACCCAAGGAGGAAGCUCCGGCUAACUACGCGCCAGCAGCUGGCGGUAAUCUGAGGCGGGCUGGCAAGGC
rnacentral:rRNA from 1 species